rnacentral:rRNA from 1 species
UACGAAGGGAGCUAGCGUUGUUCGGAAUCACUGGGCGUAAAGCGCACGUAGGCGGAUGUGUCAGUCAGGGGUGAAAUCCCGGAGCUCAACUUCGGAACUGCCUCUGAUACAGCACGUCUUGAGUCCGAUAGAGGUGGGUGGAAUUCCUAGUGUAGAGGUGAAAUUCGUAGAUAUUAGGAAGAACACCAGUGGCGAAGGCGGCCCCACUGGAUCG